GAUAAAUUUGUGUAUAUUUGUAAAAAACAUAGAGAAUUUCCUUGUCCCAUUGCUGCUUAGAGUUUCAGUGACAUGAAGAGUGUGAAGUGAAUAACCUGCAAUGUGUAUGUUCGUGUACCAGAUCUGUACAUGAAAACAAAUAUGUAUAUGAGUACAGAUAUGAGAUAUAUAAUAGGAAACAAUUUAAUUUUUUAAAAUCCAUUUAGCCAAUAAUCAUUUUAUUCUUUCCAACAGAUGUGUAAACACGAAUGUUAUGAACUUUUUGGGUCAAUGGAGUUGGCGCUGGUUGCUGUUACUGGCCUUUUGCGAAGUCUUGAUAUCAGUUUGGAAUAAUAGCUCUGGACUCUGGGGAAUCCUCACUCAUAUUCAAGUCAACCUGCAGACAGGUCGGCCAAUUUGUCCAGACAGGAUGUCCUUCACGCUUGAAGGUCACGAGAAACAUUAUGUAAAACUGGCAUGCGGUGGUGUAGAGGUUGGGUGAGAAUGACACGUGUUUCAUCAUUA